UUGCUCUGUUAGCUGAAAAAUGUCAACAAAGUGCCAUCUAGUCACUCGGUUAGCUUUUAAACACAUCAACAAAAUGCCCUUUAGUCACUCUGGUAGCUUUAAAGUGUCAACAAAGCGCCUUUUAGUUGCUUUGUUAGCUAAAAAAUGUCAACAAAGUGCCUCUAGUUGCUCUGUCACCUUUAAACACAACAACAAAAUGCCCCUCGGUCACUUCGUUUGGCCUAAAAAUGUCAACAAAGUACCCUGUAGUCACUCUGUUAGCUUGAAAUUUGUAAACAAAGUGCCCUCUGGUCACACUGUUUGCCUAAAAAUAUCAACAAAGUGCACUUGAGUUGCUCUGUUAGCUAAAAAACAUCAACAAAGCGCCCUCUAGUUGGUUUGUUUGUGAACAAAUUGUAAACAAAGGGCCCUCUGGCUGCUUUCUUUGCACCAACUUCAGCUGAUUUGAAGCCAAAUUCACUGGAUUAAACACAUUUGCAGGAUUACAGACUAAACUAAGAGCUUCACUUUAUUUUCUCUAUUUAUUCAAAUUGUCGUCACUAAACUCUUUAACAAUGUUAACUUUCAUUUUCAUGUGUUUACUGCAGUGAAUUGUGUUACAGCCUCUAAACACUGACUUCAUCCGUUACCCCCGACAUCAGCCGAUAAUUAAAUGUGUGUAUAUUUGUCCUGUGCAGCAUCUCCGGUCUAUUAAUUAACCUCCACACUAGUCUACAGCUCUGAAACAAUGAGAUUCAUGCAGUCUGAAAAGUUUGUUGCCUGUGAUUCACUUUGCGCAGCCACGACUGCUGCCAGCGGAUUUAAUGGCGCAGCUUCAUCACAAUGCUGCUUCAGAUGACACGUUUUACAGCGUGGUAUUAGUCCUGCAUGUGGGGGAUAAUUACUGCUCAAACACAGAGGGAGAGGAAGUCUAAAGACAAAUUCCUCCAAAUGGGAAACAGAGAAAGGAUUUGAUUCCUUCCUGGAUGCUGAUAAAUGCUUUACAGUCUCAAGGCAUGUCUAACAAGUGGUUUAAUUCUAUUUCUUAUCAACAGAGUGAAAAUUAGCCCAAAAUUAAUGCAGUGUUCAACAGAAAUAACUCCAAGAUAAAAAUCAGAUAAAUUUCUGGGUUUCAAAAUGAAAUCUCAGCCUCAGCCUUCAUCAGAUAUCACAUUACAGUCUGUGCCACAGGUGAUCUCCAUCCUGCUGAGUCUGACAUCAUACCGAGCUACAGGGGGGUUUCCCAGGAGGUCAAUGAGAUAUGGAGUUAAUGAAAACCAACAGGAUGGGGCUGUCUGCGCUUACCGUGGGUGAUAAAGCUCGCAGACAGUUGGGAAAUUUGUGGUUUGGGUUUAUGAGAAUGCAGCGGCCUCUGGGAAGUGUUUUAAUUUGGUUUGUACGCUAAAGAAAGGCGUGGGUGGUCUGAAUGCUGUCGCAAGCUGCUCCUGAAAGCAAUUAGCAUGUGCGCUAUCUGUCACUUCCUAUUUCUCUUACCCUGUCUGCUUAUAGGAUGAGUACAAAGACCCACAUUGGUUCAUGAAUACUGGGUGAAUCUCUGUCUUACAUGUUCAGUUUCCAGAUCUGAAUGAGCUUAAUGACUUACUCUCGACUCGAUUCGACAUGAUCACAUGACAGCAGGUUUGUUUGUGCUUGGUUUUCUGCU